GACGAACGCUGGCGGCGUGCUUAACACAUGCAAGUCGAACGGAAAGGCCCUGCUUUUGUGGGGUGCUCGAGUGGCGAACGGGUGAGUAACACGUGAGUAACCUGCCCUUGACUUUGGGAUAACUUCAGGAAACUGGGGCUAAUACCGGAUAGGAGCUCCUGCUGCAUGGAGGGGGUUGGAAAGUUUCGGCGGUUGGGGAUGGACUCGCGGCUUAUCAGCUUGUUGGUGGGGUAGUGGCUUACCAAGGCUUUGACGGGUAGCCGGCCUGAGAGGGUGACCGGCCACAUUGGGACUGAGAUACGGCCCAGACUCCUACGGGAGGCAGCAGUGGGGAAUAUUGCACAACGGGCGGAAGCCUGAUGCAGCAACGCCGCGUGCGGGAUGACGGCCUUCGGGUUGUAAACCGCUUUCGCCUGUGACGAAGCGUGAGUGACGGUAAUGGGUAAAGAAGCACCGGCUAACUACGUG
rnacentral:rRNA from 1 species